rnacentral:tRNA from 1 species
GGGAAAGUGGCUCAGUGGUAGAGUGCUUGCCUAGCAUGCAUGAAGCCCUGAGUUCAAUUCCUCAGUACCA